rnacentral:rRNA from 1 species
UUAGAGUUUGAUUAUGGCUCAGGAUGAACGCUGGCGGCGUGCCUAACACAUGCAAGUCGAGCGGGAAGCUGAUGAUUGAAACUUCGGUAGAUUGAUUCAGUGGAGAGCGGCGGACGGGUGAGUAACGCGUAGGCAACCUGCCCCUUACACAGGGAUAGCCACUGGAAACGGUGAUUAAAACCUGAUGAUACCAUGAAUUCACAUGUUUUUAUGGUCAAAGAUUUAUCGGUAAGGGAUGGGCCUGCGUCUGAUUAGCUAGUUGGUGAGGUAACGGCCCACCAAGGCAACGAUCAGUAGCCGACCUGAGAGGGUGAUCGGCCACAUUGGGACUGAGACACGGUCCAAACUCCUACGGGAGGCAGCAGUGGGGAAUAUUGCACAAUGGGCGAAAGCCUGAUGCAGCAACGCCGCGUGAAGGAUGAAGGCCUUCGGGUUGUAAACUUCUGUCCUUGGGGAAGAUAAUGACGGUACCCUUGGAGGAAGCCCCGGCUAACUACGUGCCAGCAGCCGCGGUAAUACGUAGGGGGCGAGCGUUAUCCGGAAUUAUUGGGCGUAAAGAGUGCGUAGGUGGUUACCUAAGCAGGGGGUGAAAGGCAUUGGCCUAACCAAUGUUAGCCCCCUGAACUGGGCUACUUGAGUGCAGGAGGGGAAAGUGGAAUUCCUAGUGUAGCGGUGAAAUGCGUAGAUAUUAGGAGGAACACCAGUGGCGAAGGCGACUUUCUGGACUGUUACUGACACUGAGGCACGAAAGUGUGGGGAGCAAACAGGAUUAGAUACCCUGGUAGUCCACACCGUAAACGAUGAGCACUAGUUGUUGGGUCCGAAUGGAUUCAGUGACGCAGUUAACGCAAUAAGUGCUCCGCCUGGGGAGUACGUUCGCAAGAAUAAAACUCAAAGGAAUUGACGGGGACCCGCACAAGCAGUGGAUUAUGUGGUUUAAUUCGAAGCAACGCGAAGAACCUUACCAGCACUUGACAUCCAACUAACGAAGUAGAGAUACAUUAGGUGCCCCUCGGGGAAAGUUGAGACAGGUGGUGCAUGGUUGUCGUCAGCUCGUGUCGUGAGAUGUUGGGUUAAGUCCCGCCACGAGCGCAACCCUUGCCAUUAGUUGCUACGCAAGAGCACUCUAAUGGGACCGCUACCGAUAAGGUGGAGGAAGGUGGGGAUGACGUCAAAUCAUCAUGCCCCUUACGUGCUGGGCUACACACGUAAUACAAUGGUCGUUAACAAAGAGAAGCAAUACAGCGAUGUGGAGCAAAUCUCCAAAAACGAUCUCAGUUCGGACUGCAGGCUGAAACCCGCCUGCACGAAGUUGGAAUUGCUAGUAAUCGCGGAUCAGCAUGCCGCGGUGAAUACGUUCCCGGGUCU